UUUGAUUUCUGGGUGGACUGCAGAGAAUAUGAAAUUGCACUAAAUUAGGACCUGGUAUGCUCGUAUUUUCAAUUCUUCCAGAAUUCGCAGAUUAUACAGUAGGAUUUGCCUCCUUAUAUUCGUCAACCUAAUGAUGGGACGAUUAUUGGUGCUACUGCUGAGGGGAGCAAUGCCAUUGAUUCUUCACGGUUGAAGGACAGCUUACGCCACUCGCCUGCUCCUGUUGCACUGACUUUUAUAGAAACAAC
rnacentral:lncRNA from 1 species